AUGGAUUUUAGCCCAUCCAUAUUAUGUUGGAAUGUGAGAGGGUUAAAUAACCCAGCGAAGCAAGACACGGUCCGUGAGUUUGUAGCUAGUGUGAGAGUGAACAUCAUUUGUCUUCAAGAGACCAAGCUGGAUGUAAUUGACCGCUUCACUGUAAUUCAAUGCCUAGGGCCGUCCUUUGAUGGCUUUGCCUACAUGCCGGCUAUGGAGACUAGAGGGGGGAUCCUCAUUGCUUGGGACUCAACUGCGAUCGAGAUUGACCACUUCAGCUUGGACUCCGACUUCAUCAUGGGCCAAGUGCAUGCUAAGAAUGGGACUAUUUGGUGGAUUUUGGUGGUCUAUGGCCCUCAAGGCAAUCUACUCAAAACAGCCUUCCUGGAGGAGUUACACGUGAGAUGCGCUCUUUGCUCGGGACCAUGGAUGAUAGUUGGAGAUUUUAACAUGAUCUUGCGUGCAUCGGAGAAGAGUAACGCAAACCUCAAUAGGAGCAUGAUGGCCAAGUUUCGGAGCUUCAUCGACAGCAAUGAAUUGAAGGAAGUUUACAUGCACGGGCGGAGGUUCGCGUGGUCCAACGAGAGGGACACACCAAUGAUGACUAAGGUUGACCACGUGCUGGUCUCUAUGGACUAG
rnacentral:rRNA from 1 species